UACAGAGGGUGCGAGCGUUAAUCGGAAUUACUGGGCGUAAAGCGCGCGUAGACGGUUUUGUAAGUCAGAUGUGAAAUCCCUGGGCUCAACCUGGGAACUGCAUUUGAGACUGCAUGGCUAGAGUAUCGAAGAGGGAAGUGGAAUUUCCGGUGUAGCGGUGAAAUGCGUAGAUAUCGGAAGGAACACCAGUGGCGAAAGCGGCUCUCUGGGACGGUACUGACGCUGAGACGCGAAAGCGUGGGGAGCGAACAGG
rnacentral:rRNA from 1 species